rnacentral:rRNA from 1 species
AACGGNAAGGNCUCUUCGGAGGUACUCGAGUGGCGAACGGGUGAGUAACACGUGGGCAAUCUGCCCUGCACUUUGGGAUAAGCYUGGGAAACUGGGUCUAAUACCGGAUAGGACCUCAAGACGCAUGUCUUCUGGUGGAAAGCUUUUGCGGUGUGGGAUGGGCCCGCGGCCUAUCAGCUUGUUGGUGGGGUGACGGCCUACCAAGGCGACGACGGGUAGCCGGCCUGAGAGGGUGUCCGGCCACACUGGGACUGAGAUACGGCCCAGACUCCUACGGGAGGCAGCAGUGGGGAAUAUUGCACAAUGGGCGCAAGCCUGAUGCAGCGACGCCGCGUGGGGGAUGACGGCCUUCGGGUUGUAAACCUCUUUCACCAUCGACGAAGGUCCGGGUUUUCUCGGAUUGACGGUAGGUGGAGAAGAAGCACCGGCCAACUACGUGCCAGCAGCCGCGGUAAUACGUAGGGUGCGAGCGUUGUCCGGAAUUACUGGGCGUAAAGAGCUCGUAGGUGGUUUGUCGCGUUGUUCGUGAAAUCUCACGGCUUAACUGUGAGCGUGCGGGCGAUACGGGCAGACUAGAGUACUGCAGGGGAGACUGGAAUUCCUGGUGUAGCGGUGGAAUGCGCAGAUAUCAGGAGGAACACCGGUGGCGAAGGCGGGUCUCUGGGCAGUAACUGACGCUGAGGAGCGAAAGCGUGGGGAGCGAACAGGAUUAGAUACCCUGGUAGUCCACGCCGUAAACGGUGGGUACUAGGUGUGGGUUUCCUUCCUUGGGAUCCGUGCCGUAGCUAACGCAUUAAGUACCCCGCCUGGGGAGUACGGCCGCAAGGCUAAAACUCAAAGGAAUUGACGGGGGCCCGCACAAGCGGCGGAGCAUGUGGAUUAAUUCGAUGCAACGCGAAGAACCUUACCUGGGUUUGACAUGCACAGGACGCGUCUAGAGAUAGGCGUUCCCUUGUGGCCUGUGUGCAGGUGGUGCAUGGCUGUCGUCAGCUCGUGUCGUGAGAUGUUGGGUUAAGUCCCGCAACGAGCGCAACCCUUGUCUCAUGUUGCCAGCGGGUAAUGCCGGGGACUCGUGAGAGACUGCCGGGGUCAACUCGGAGGAAGGUGGGGAUGACGUCAAGUCAUCAUGCCCCUUAUGUCCAGGGCUUCACACAUGCUACAAUGGCCGGUACAAAGGGCUGCGAUGCCGUAAGGUUAAGCGAAUCCUUUUAAAGCCGUCAGUCUCAUGGGGUUCGGAUUGGGGUCUGCAACUCGACCCCAUGAAGUCGGAGUCGCUAGUAAUCGCAGAUCAGCAACGCUGCGGUGAAUACGUUCCCGGGCCUUGUACACACCGCCCGUCACGUCAUGAAAGUCGGUAACACCCGAAGCCAGUGGCCUAGGA